rnacentral:tmRNA from 17 species
GGGGCUGUUUUGGUUUCGACAUUUAAAGGUAGUUUAAGGUAUGAAUCAGGUCGAAGCUUGUAUUCUUCGUAAAAACGUACAAUCUUAAAUAUAAAUGCUAAAACUAUUAUUUUAUCGUUACUUACUUUCGUAAGUUUUAAUACACAAAAAAAUAACUCAAA